CUCCUUUGGCGGCAUCGGCCAGGCCGGACUUGUGUUUUUGCUUUACGGUGACGACGUCGACGGCUGGCGCACACCGCGGCGACGCCGCAGCCGCAGCCGCGGCCCGGGGAAGAACGAGAGUGCCGGCGGCGGGAGCGCCGACGCGCGCAGCGUGCAGGAGAAGCGGAAGGGAGCGGACUCCUUUAUGCCGGCGGCCUCGGCGCUCGGCCAUGGGUGGUGGGAGCUGCUGCUGCUGCUCCUCCUCCGCCUACUCCUGCUGCUGCUGCUGUACCUCCUCCGCCAACUGCUCCUGUAGAAGGAGUUCUUGGCCGGGUUCGGCCGGCCAAAGCCGCACCCCUUCUGGAUGUGGUGGCUGCAGCUUCUCGUCGAAGAGGCCCUCUACCCGUAGCCGCCGCGGCCCGCGUUCUCGUUUAGCCGAGGCGGGUUCUCGUCGUUUUGGUUGCCGAGCCGGUGUCUUUGGCGGCGUCUAACGUCAUUACUACCGCAAGUACAAGCAUAAACCUUGGAGGGCUUUUUCUUCUUGUAUGUAUUCCUGGACUUGGAUCGAAAGUUUCCCAAAGGACCGGACCAUUGAUAUUUGGGUCGUUUGAGACCUUGAUUCUUCUGGGCACUAGGAUAAACAUUCCCAAAACGUAAACAGUUUGACCUCAGUCACCUGCGACGCUGCUCCAAACAACUUGACAUGAGAGCAUUUCGACACAGCAAGCCGUUCCAACUCUUCGGUUAGUUCACGACAUAACAACUUCCCGUGUAGAGAUGCCUAGGAAGUCCAGGUCGUAGGUCGUCAGUCGGUGGUCCCAGCUUGGGUGUUGCCAACCAUCGGCAUUCUACUCGUCGUGUCAACUAGACAGUAGUUAGGUCAACGGUGAGCCAUGAAGUUGUCUGCCUCUUAAGGCCCUUCUUCCAAGCGAUGUAUCUAUAGCCGUACGAAGCGAGUUCUAACGCUUCUGUGCCUGGCAAACCAGCCUUAAGGGCUAAAACAUCUACUAUAGUUCGUAACUGUAAUCGUCCUUUGGGAAAGAGGUUACCCAAAUAAAUCUUCUAUCCGUCCCUAAUCUGAGUCCUAAACUUAGAUUUAGGCGCCGCAGCAAUAUUUAGGGGUCUAAUUUCAACGAAGUUUCAACUAACGCUAUGCACCAGGCCUACUAUUUCCCCACUACAAAC
rnacentral:rRNA from 1 species